AGAGUUUGAUCCUGGCUCAGGAUGAACGCUAGCUACAGGCUUAACACAUGCAAGUCGAGGGGAAACGAUAUUGGAAGCUUGCUUCCGAUAGGCGUCGACCGGCGCACGGGUGAGUAACGCGUAUCCAACCUGCCCAUCACCUGGGAAUAACCUUGCGAAAGUAAGACUAAUGCCCAAUGACAUUUAUAGAAGGCAUCGGAAAUGAAUUAAAGAUAUAUCGGUGAUGGAUGGGGAUGCGUCUGAUUAGCUUGUUGGCGGGGUAACGGCCCACCAAGGCGACGAUCAGUAGGGGUUCUGAGAGGAAGGUCCCCCACAUUGGAACUGAGACACGGUCCAAACUCCUACGGGAGGCAGCAGUGAGGAAUAUUGGUCAAUGGGCGAGAGCCUGAACCAGCCAAGUAGCGUGCAGGAUGACGGCCCUAUGGGUUGUAAACUGCUUUUAUAGGGGAAUAAAGUGAUCCACGUGUGGUUUUUUGCAUGUACCCUAUGAAUAAGGACCGGCUAAUUCCGUGCCAGCAGCCGCGGUAAUACGGAAGGUCCGGGCGUUAUCCGGAUUUAUUGGGUUUAAAGGGAGCGUAGGCCGGAGAUUAAGCGUGUUGUGAAAUGUAGAUGCUCAACAUCUGCACUGCAGCGCGAACUGGUUUCCUUGAGUACGCAUAAAGUGGGCGGAAUUCGUGGUGUAGCGGUGAAAUGCUUAGAUAUCACGAAGAACUCCGAUUGCGAAGGCAGCUCACUGGGGCGCAACUGACGCUGAAGCUCGAAAGCGCGGGUAUCGAACAGGAUUAGAUACCCUGGUAGUCCGCGCGGUAAACGAUGGAUGCCCGCUGUUGGGCCAACUGGUUCAGCGGCCAAGCGAAAGCAUUAAGCAUCCCACCUGGGGAGUACGCCGGCAACGGUGAAACUCAAAGGAAUUGACGGGGGCCCGCACAAGCGGAGGAACAUGUGGUUUAAUUCGAUGAUACGCGAGGAACCUUACCCGGGCUUGAAUUGCAGAGGAAGGAUUUGGAGACAAUGACGCCCUUCGGGGCCUCUGUGAAGGUGCUGCAUGGUUGUCGUCAGCUCGUGCCGUGAGGUGUCGGCUUAAGUGCCAUAACGAGCGCAACCCCUCUCCAUAGUUGCCAUCAGGUUAAGCUGGGCACUCUGUGGACACUGCCACCGUAAGGUGUGAGGAAGGUGGGGAUGACGUCAAAUCAGCACGGCCCUUACGUCCGGGGCUACACACGUGUUACAAUGGCAGGUACAGAGAGCC
rnacentral:rRNA from 1 species